UAGUCCACGCCGUAAACGAUGAACACUAGAUAUUGGGAGAACUCGGUAUCGCAGCAAAUGCAUUAAGUGUUCCGCCUGGGGAGUACGGUCGCAAGAUUAAAACUCAAAGGAAUUGACGGGGACCCGCACAAGCGGUGGAUCAUGUGGUUUAAUUCGAUGCAACGCGAAAAACCUUACCAGCACUUGACAUUUAUUUGAAUGCUUGAGAGAUUAAGUAGCUCUUAGUUUACUAAGACAGAUAAACAGGUGGUGCAUGGCUGUCGUCAGCUCGUGUCGUGAGAUGUUGGGUUAAGUCCCGCAACGAGCGCAACCCUUACUGUUAGUUGCCAGCGAGUAAUGUCGGGAACUUUAACGGGACUGCCGGUGACAAACCGGGAGGAAGGUGGGGAUGACGUCAAGUCCUCAUGCCCUUUAUGUGCUGGGGCUACACACGUGAUACAAUGGCAGGAACAGAGAGA
rnacentral:rRNA from 1 species